rnacentral:pre_miRNA from 1 species
CUGUGCUGUGGGUUCAGAGGCAGAACUGUGGGGGGUGUCACCAUGGCCUGGAGCCCUCUCCUGCUCCCCCUCCUCACUCUCUGCACAGGUGC